GGAGCUGGUCGGGACCAACAGUGGACAGGAAUUGUGACUUGGGCACAGCUUACAGACUCUCAAGCAAGUAACAAAGUAGAGAAAUAAUCAAGACAAGGACACAGCCACUGAAAUUCAAGGUGCUGCAGGAGAAGAAUGAAGUUGGAUUUCUUCUGUGGAGAAAGAAAGAGGAAGGAAGGAAGAAAGG